rnacentral:rRNA from 1 species
CUGUAAGCCGUUGAAGGUGAAUCGUAAGGUUUGCUGGAGGUAUCAGAAGUGCGAAUGCUGACAUGAGUAACGACAAAGGGGGUGAAAAACCUCCUCGCCGGAAGACCAAGGGUUCCUGUCCAACGUUAAUCGGGGCAGGGUGAGUCGACCCCUAAGGUGAGGCCGAAAGGCGUAAUCGAUGGGAAACGGGUUAAUAUUCCCGUACUUCUGACUAUUGCGAUGGGGGGACGGAGAAGGCUAGGUGGGCCAGGCGACGGUUGUCCUGGUUCAAGUGCGUAGGCUUGAGAGUUAGGUAAAUCCGGCUCUCUUUAAGGCUGAGACACGACGUCGAGCUGCUACGGCAGUGAAGUCAUUGAUGCCAUGCUUCCAGGAAAAGCCUCUAAGCUUCAGAUAGUCAGGAAUCGUACCCCAAACCGACACAGGUGGUCGGGUAGAGAAUACCAAGGCGCUUGAGAGAACUCGGGUGAAGGAACUAGGCAAAAUGGUACCGUAACUUCGGGAGAAGGUACGCUCUUGAUGGUGAAGUCCCUCGCGGAUGGAGCUGACGAGAGUCGCAGAUACCAGGUGGCUGCAACUGUUUAUUAAAAACACAGCACUGUGCAAAAUCGCAAGAUGACGUAUACGGUGUGACGCCUGCCCGGUGCCGGAAGGUUAAUUGAUGGGGUUAGCGCAAGCGAAGCUCUUGAUCGAAGCCCCGGUAAACGGCGGCCGUAACUAUAACGGUCCUAAGGUAGCGAAAUUCCUUGUCGGGUAAGUUCCGACCUGCACGAAUGGCGUAAUGAUGGCCACGCUGUCUCCACCCGAGACUCAGUGAAAUUGAAAUCGCUGUGAAGAUGCAGUGUACCCGCGGCUAGACGGAAAGACCCCGUGAACCUUUACUACAGCUUGGCACUGAACAUUGAACCUACAUGUGUAGGAUAGGUGGGAGGCUUUGAAGACGUGACGCCAGUUGCGUUGGAGCCGUCCUUGAAAUACCACCCUUGUAUGUUUGAUGUUCUAACUUAGACCCGUUAUCCGGGUUGAGGACAGUGCCUGGUGGGUAGUUUGACUGGGGCGGUCUCCUCCCAAAGAGUAACGGAGGAGCACGAAGGUGGGCUAAUCACGGUUGGACAUCGUGAGGUUAGUGCAAUGGCAUAAGCCCGCUUAACUGCGAGAAUGACGGUUCGAGCAGGUGCGAAAGCAGGUCAUAGUGAUCCGGUGGUUCUGUAUGGAAGGGCCAUCGCUCAACGGAUAAAAGGUACUCCGGGGAUAACAGGCUGAUACCGCCCAAGAGUUCAUAUCGACGGCGGUGUUUGGCACCUCGAUGUCGGCUCAUCACAUCCUGGGGCUGAAGUCGGUCCCAAGGGUAUGGCUGUUCGCCAUUUAAAGUGGUACGCGAGCUGGGUUUAGAACGUCGUGAGACAGUUCGGUCCCUAUCUGCCGUGGGCGUUGGAAGAUUGAAGGGGGCUGCUCCUAGUACGAGAGGACCGGAGUGGACGAACCUCUGGUGUUCGGGUUGUGUCGCCAGACGCAUUGCCCGGUAGCUAAGUUCGGAAUUGAUAAGCGCUGAAAGCAUCUAAGCGCGAAGCGAGCCCUGAGAUGAGUCUUCCCUGAUACUUUAAGUAUCCUAAAGGGUUGUUCGAGACUAGAACGUUGAUAGGCAGGGUGUGUAAGCGUUGUGAGGCGUUGAGCUAACCUGUACUAAUUGCCCGUGAGGCUUAACCAU